AACGAACGCUGGCGGCAUGCCUAACACAUGCAAGUCGAACGAGACCUUCGGGUCUAGUGGCGCACGGGUGCGUAACGCGUGGGAACCUGCCCUUAGGUUCGGAAUAACUCCCCGAAAGGGGUGCUAAUACCGGAUAAUGUCUUCGGACCAAAGACUUAUCGCCUUUGGAUGGGCCCGCGUUGGAUUAGCUAGUUGGUAGGGUAAAAGCCUACCAAGGCGACGAUCCAUAGCUGGUCUGAGAGGAUGAUCAGCCACACUGGGACUGAGACACGGCCCAGACUCCUGCGGGAAGCAGCAGUAGGGAAUAUUGGACAAUGGGCGAAAGCCUGAUCCAGCAAUGCCGCGUGAGUGAUGAAGGCCUUAGGGUUGUAAAGCUCUUUUACCCGGGAUGAUAAUGACAGUACCGGGAGAAUAAGCGCCGGCUAACUCCGUG
rnacentral:rRNA from 1 species